GGGUCAGUAGGUUGGUCGUGCCACCGGUACGUACUGGUCUCACUGAUUCCUCCUUCCUGAAGAGCCGUAAUGCCAUUAAUUUGGUGUUGCGGGGAAACAGGACUGUUACUUUGAAAAAAUUAGAGUGUUUAAAGCAAGCUAACGCUUGAAUACAUUAGCAUGGAAUAAUGAAAUAGGACGAUCGAUCCUAUUUUGUUGGUUUCUAGGAUUGACGCA
rnacentral:rRNA from 1 species